rnacentral:lncRNA from 1 species
CUAAAGAAAGGAAAGGAAGGAAUCCCAAAGAAGCAUGUUGUGUUCCCUGAAGGAGUUCGGUUUUGUGUGCCAAGGAGCACAGCUGGGGCGACCCUGCAUUGGCUAAGCUUCCUGUGCCUGAAGAGAGAAAGGAACCUACGAAGCUCAGCCGGGGCUCUGGACAAGUUCCUGUGCCUUGAAGUUGCUAUUUAUGAGAUUAUGGUUAUGUGGAGAAAGAAAACAGAGCUGGAGACCUUGAUCUGGAUAGCUGACCUGGAUUUUUCAGAAGCAGAUAAUGAAAUCUAAUAUAUCUUGGUCAGGUCAAUGAUAAGAGAAGAGAAGAGGGGAGUAAAAGAGAGGGAGGAAAUCCUGCCUCCUUCAGGAAGAGACAUAGACAAUAUCACCUGGCUUUUGCUUUCUGUUUCUGGGAGAGGAUCUGAUUGGUAAGAUGGGUGAAGGAAUAAAGUGUAUCCUGCAGGACUUGUAGUCA